UGCUGCUACAAGUGUAGUGAUGUUUACAUCUAGUUAGUCACCACCAGUUAUCAAUUUCCUUGUUCUUUUUCCAUUCCCACUGCUGAACUUGAUUAGCCUACA
ensembl:misc_RNA Y_RNA Y RNA